rnacentral:rRNA from 1 species
CCUUGACAUACUAAGAACUUUCCAGAGAUGGAUUGGUGCCUUCGGGAACUUAGAUACAGGUGCUGCAUGGCUGUCGUCAGCUCGUGUCGUGAGAUGUUGGGUUAAGUCCCGCAACGAGCGCAACCCUUUUCCUAUUUGCCAGCGGGUCAUGCCGGGAACUUUAAGGAUACUGCCAGUGACAAACUGGAGGAAGGCGGGGACGACGUCAAGUCAUCAUGGCCCUUACGGCCAGGGCUACACACGUGCUACAAUGGUCGGUACAAAGGGUUGCUACCUCGCGAGAGGAUGCUAAUCUCAAAAAGCCGAUCGUAGUCCGGAUCGCAGUCUGCAACUCGACUGCGUGAAGUCGGAAUCGCUAGUAAUCGCGGAUCAGAAUGCCGCGGUGAAUACGUUCCUGGGCCUUGUACACACCGCCCGUCACACCAUGGGAGUUUGUUGCACCAGAAGUAGGUAGUCUAACCGCAAGGAGGACGCUUACCACGGUGUGGCCGAUGACUGGGGUGAAGUCGUAACAAGGUAAGCGUAGAUGA